rnacentral:rRNA from 1 species
UGAGGAAUAUUGGUCAAUGGGCGAGAGCCUGAACCAGCCAAAUCGCGUGAAGGAAGACUGCCUUAUGGGUUGUAAACUUCUUUUAUACAGGAAUAAAAAAGGGGACGUGUCCCUUAUUGCAUGUACUGUAUGAAUAAGCAUCGGCUAACUCCGUGCCAGCAGCCGCGGUAAUACGGAGGAUGCGAGCGUUAUCCGGAUUUAUUGGGUUUAAAGGGUGCGCAGGCGGGCUUUUAAGUCAGCGGUGAAAUCUCGGGGCUUAACUCCGAAACUGCCGUUGAAACUGGGAGUCUUGAGUAUGGAUGAAGUAGGCGGAAUUCGUUGUGUAGCGGUGACAUGCUUAGAUAUAACGAGGAACUCCGAUUGCGUAGGCAGCUUACUAAGCCAUAACUGACGCUCAAGCACGAAAGCGUGGGGAUCAAACAGGAUUAGAUACCCUGGUAGUCCACGCCGUAAACGAUGAUUACUAGUUGUAUGCGAUAUACCGUAUGUGACUAAGCGAAAAGCGAUAAGUAAUCCACCUGGGGAGUACGCCGGCAACGGUGAAACUCAAAUGAAUUGACGGGGUCAUAGCUGUUU